UUCCACCUCAAGGUUACUGUCUCAAAGAUCAAUCUCUUCACAACAAGAGUUGUGGGCCUAUUAAUAACUCUAAACCAAUAGUUGUGGGACUGGAACCAUAAUCUGGCAAUAAAAAGUGAUGAAAAUCAUUUGAAAAAGAAGUGUGAUUACAGAAAACUAGUACCAGAAGUGUGAUUACCGAAUUCUACUUCAUAUCCUUUAAUAUACCAACGCGCACAAUAAUUUUCCUGCUAUUAUAUGAAAGAUAAAUGUUUAAGAACUGCAUCUACUAUAGCAGAACUAGAAAUAAAUUUUAAUGAUUAUGCAUCCACUGCUUCUUGACAUACAGUGUUGUUGAGUAGGCAACCCAAACUCAAAUUUAUCUUCUUCCCAUUGCGUGCUAUGAUCAAUUAGCUGGCACCUUCAUAACAAAUUAUUAUCACACUAAAAGCAUACAGUACAAGCCAAAUAACUAACAACUCAUCUUUAGCCUAAAUGCCACUUCAUAUGAGAAUACCUAUUAGGACACAAUGAGGCUGCAAAAACAGUUAGUUCAAAAAUACUUGCCCCAAUCACAAAUAACUAAUUCUAAAAACAAAUAUUCCUCUAUAACAACUUAAACUUAUUUCUGUCAGAUGCAAGACUAGCAUGAUAAAGAGCCUAUUUGUUAAUGCU
rnacentral:lncRNA from 1 species